rnacentral:rRNA from 1 species
GUCUAUGGCCAUACCACCCAACGUGCCUAAUCUCUUCUAGUCUCAGAAGCUAAACAGGGUCAGGCCUGGUUAGUACUUGGAUGGGAAUAAUCUUACUAAAAUGCCCUGGGGUUUAUCAGUU